CAGGAACUAUGAAUGAAUGAAAUGUAUUCACCAAAAGAUAACUGGGAAAUUAUGGCAAAGGGACCAAUGUGAAGUUUGAUAGGACACUGGAGCAUAAGCAUGAGCAGUGGAGACACACUCAUAUGCAUCAUCUGCCACCACUCCUUGCUGCCCCAUCUGCAUAUCGCCUUCACGACAGCCUGUGAGAUUCCAGUGGACCUGUGAUGUGUGGGAGUUCAGCAAGACCCAGGGUGGGUACAAGCGAACAAAUAAAGAAGGCUCAUCAAACCGAGAGCAAAAUCCAGUAACUUAAAAGAGAAGGCCCUGGAUGAGUGAAC